UCGAGGAUCUUCCGCAAUGGGCGCAAGCCUGACGGAGCGACGCCGCGUGGAGGAUGAAGGCCUUCGGGUUGUAAACUCCUGUCGCAGAUUAAGAAUUGUUCCGUGUGAAUAGCGCGGAACAUGACGUUAGUUUGAGAGGAAGCACCGGCUAACUCUGUGCCAGCAGCCGCGGUAAUACAGAGGGUGCUAACGUUGUUCGGAAUCACUGGGCAUAAAGCGCACGUAGGCGGCUUGGUAAGUGCGGUGUGAAAGCCCCCGGCCUAACCGGGGAACUGCAUCGCAGACUGCCAGGCUCGAGAGCGGGAGGGGAGACUGGAACUCCUGGUGGAGCGGUGAAAUGCGUAGAUAUCAGGAGGAACACCGGUGGUGAAAACGAGUCUCUGGUCCGCUUCUGACGCUCAUGUGCGAAAGCUAGGGGAGCAAACGGGAUUAGAUACCCCCGUAGUCC
rnacentral:rRNA from 1 species